CAGGUGCCUAAUUCCACCAUGAUAUUUUCCUCAUGCACUGAAGUCUGUGGGGAAGACCACUGUGACAAGUCUUGUGCUAAAAUAUGCCUAGUGAAUGUCCACCACAAGGAUCAACCAGAAAAGACUUUAAAGGCGUAUGCUAUCUUAGAUGAUCAAAGCAAUCGAUCACUUGCCCGAUCCGAACUGUUCUAUCUAUUUUGCAUAAGAGGAGAGGUUCACCCUUACACCUUAGGCACUUGCAGUGGCACUACAGAGGUCUUUGGAAGAAGGGCCCAUGGACUUAUUGUGUCCUCCAUAGGAGAUAACUUACAAUUACCCUUACCUACACUAGUAGAGUGCAACCAGAUACCAGCCAACAAAGAAGAAAUACCAACACCAGAAGUUGCCUUCUACCAUCCUCACCUAAAGUCAAUAGCAAGUGAAAUCCCACCACUUGACAAAGAUGCUAAAAUCCUUCUUCUGCUGGGAAGAGAUAUUCUAAGGGUCCACAAGGUGCACAGGCAGGUCAGCAGACCCCC